rnacentral:rRNA from 1 species
GGGGAAUAUUGCACAAUGGGGGGAACCCUGAUGCAGCCAUGCCGCGUGAAUGAAGAAGGCCUUCGGGUUGUAAAGUUCUUUCGGUAGCGAGGAAGGCAUUUAGUUUAAUAGACUAAGUGAUUGACGUUAACUACAGAAGAAGCACCGGCUAACUCCGUGCCAGCAGCCGCGGUAAUACGGAGGGUGCGAGCGUUAAUCGGAAUAACUGGGCGUAAAGGGCACGCAGGCGGUGACUUAAGUGAGGUGUGAAAGCCCCGGGCUUAACCUGGGAAUUGCAUUUCAUACUGGGUCGCUAGAGUACUUUAGGGAGGGGUAGAAUUCCACGUGUAGCGGUGAAAUGCGUAGAGAUGUGGAGGAAUACCGAAGGCGAAGGCAGCCCCUUGGGAAUGUACUGACGCUCAUGUGCGAAAGCGUGGGGAGCAAACAGGAUUAGAUACCCUGGUAGUCCACGCUGUAAACGAUGUCGAUUUGGGGGUUGAACUUUAGGUUUGGCGCCCGUAGCUAACGUGAUAAAUCGACCGCCUGGGGAGUACGGCCGCAAGGUUA